UACAGAGGGGGCAAGCGUUGUUCGGAAUUACUGGGCGUAAAGGGCGCGUAGGCGGCGUGGUAAGUCAGCUGUGAAAUCUCCGAGCUUAACUCGGAACGGUCAGCUGAUACUGCUGUGCUAGAGUACAGAAGGGGCAAUCGGAAUUCUUGGUGUAGCGGUGAAAUGCGUAGAUAUCAAGAGGAACACCUGAGGCGAAGGCGGGUUGCUAGGCUGAUACUGACGCUGAGUGCGCGAAAGCUAGGGUAGCAAACGGG
rnacentral:rRNA from 1 species